GACGGAGGAGGCAAGCGUUCUCCGGAAUUAUUGGGCGUAAAGCGUCCGCAGGUGGCGAUUCAAGUCUGCUGUCAAAGGUCGGGGCGUAACCCCGGGAAGGCAGUGGAAACUGAAUAGCUAGAGUGCGGUAGGGGCAGAGGGAAUUCCCGGUGUAGCGGUGAAAUGCGUAGAGAUCGGGAAGAACACCAGUGGCGAACGCGUUCUGCUGGGUCUGCACUGACAAUCAGGUAAGAAAGCUAGGGGAGCGAAAGGG
rnacentral:rRNA from 1 species